rnacentral:rRNA from 1 species
UGGGGAAUUUUGGACAAUGGGCGAAAGCCUGAUCCAGCAAUGCCGCGUGUGUGAAGAAGGCCUUCGGAUUGUAAAGCACUUUUGUCCGGAAAGAAAUCCUUGGCUCUAAUACAGUCGGGGGAUGACGGUACCGGAAGAAUAAGCACCGGCUAACUACGUGCCAGCAGCCGCGGUAAUACGUAGGGUGCAAGCGUUAAUCGGAAUUACUGGGCGUAAAGCGUGCGCAGGCGGUUUGCUAAGACCGAUGUGAAAUCCCCGGGCUCAACCUGGGAACUGCAUUGGUGACUGGCAGGCUAGAGUAUGGCAGAGGGGGGUAGAAUUCCACGUGUAGCAGUGAAAUGCGUAGAGAUGUGGAGGAAUACCGAUGGCGAAGGCAGCCCCCUGGGCCAAUACUGACGCUCAUGCACGAAAGCGUGGGGAGCAAACAGGAUUAGAUACCCUGGUAGUCCACGCCCUAAACGAUGUCAACUAGUUGUUGGGGAUUCAUUUCCUUAGUAACGUAGCUAACGCGUGAAGUUGACCGCCUGGGGAGUACGGUCGCAAGAUUAAAACUUAAAUGAAUUGACGGGGUCAUAGCUG